CUGAACGUCAAAUGAAAGUGAGGCUUAUGAGAAAACAAACGUCAAUGCUUUGAAGGUAGCUCAACUGGAUUUAUCAAGAUGCAGACUUUUGUAGUUUUAGGUGUCAUCGGAACGACACUCUCCGUCAUAAUGAAAGAAACGUCAGCAGUUUUACUCAAACUCGGAAGUUUAUGGGAAUUUUGCAUAUUUCUGUGGUCGAUGAUCUUUAUCGUAUUUCGGAAAGAGGCCAACGUGCUGAUGACUGGAUAUGCAGCUUCUGUUGCAUUCAUGUUGGCGGUUGGUUAUUUGCUACUCCAUAACUUUGUUUUACCGAAGUAUCUUCCACGAUUGAGAUCGAAAGUUCUCAAACAACUUGCCAAGAUAGUGCUUUCUUCAACGGCUCCAGUUGUGGCACUGUUAUACAUGUGGUUCCCUUGUCAAAAGAAGAUGUCAUGUCUUUUCGGUUUCCUGUUUCCCAUUGACUACGACGCUAGCAAAGAAACCUGUCCUUAUGGAACUGUGAUCUUGGCCACAGUAAUGACUUUGUUAGUCAUUAUCAGACAACAGGAUAUCGUAAAAGGGACAAAAAAAGUUUCAGUGGAAAAAACAGUAAAGGUGGAAAACUCAGAGGAUUUGUACCGCGUGUCACCCGGCCCACGUCGAAGUUCGAGAUUACUAAAAAUGUGAUGAGUCAACCGAUGACAAGAUGAAAAUAUGGCAAAGCAAUUUCCUAUGAUGAUCUAGACGAACGGAGCUGUAUUGAAGAACUUAGUCAAAUGUAAUAUUAAAACCGUAAAGCUAAUCCAACUAAUAAAUCUUCAUUAUAACAA